rnacentral:rRNA from 1 species
GGACGAACGCUGGCGGCGUGCCUAAUACAUGCAAGUCGAACGGACGAUGGGGCUUCGGCCCCAAAGUUAGUGGCGAACGGGUGAGUAACGCGUGAGCAACCUGACUCAAAGAGGGGGACAACAGCUGGAAACGGCUGCUAAUACCGCAUAAGACCACAGCGCGGCAUCGCAAAGGGGUCAAAGAAUUAUCGCUCUGAGAGGGGCUCGCGUCCCAUUAGAUAGUUGGUGAGGUAACGGCCCACCAAGUCCGCGAUGGGUAGCCGAGCUGAGAGGCUGAUCGGCCACACUGGAACUGAGACACGGUCCAGACUCCUACGGGAGGCAGCAGUAGGGAAUAUUGGGCAAUGGGCGCAAGCCUGAACCCCAGCAACGCCGCGUGAGGGAAGAAGGUUUUCGGAUUGUAAACCUCUGUCCUAUGUGACGAAGGAAGUGACGGUAGCAUAGGAGGAAGCCCCGGCUAACUACGUGCCAGCAGCAGC